GGGGCUGAUUCUGGAUUCGACGGGAUUUGCGAAACCCAAGGUGCAUGCCGAGGGGCGGUUGGCCUCGUAAAAAGCCGCAAAAAAUAGUCGCAAACGACGAAAACUACGCUUUAGCAGCUUAAUAACCUGCUUAGAGCCCUCUCUCCCUAGCCUCCGCUCUUAGGACGGGGAUCAAGAGAGGUCAAACCCAAAAGAGAUCGCGUGGAAGCCUUGCCUGGGGUUGAAGCGUUAAAACUUAAUCAGGCUAGUUUGUUAGUGGCGUGUCCGUCCGCAGCUGGCAAGCGAAUGUAAAGACUGACUAAGCAUGUAGUACCGAGGACGUAGGAAUUUCGGACGCGGGUUCAACUCCCGCCAGCUCCACCA
rnacentral:tmRNA from 8 species